UGGGGAUAUAGCUUAGUGGUAGAGUUCUUGCCUAGCAUGCAUGAGGCCCUGGGUUCAAGUCCCAGUACUGCAA